rnacentral:rRNA from 1 species
ACGGAGGGUGCAAGCGUUAUCCGGAAUCACUGGGUUUAAAGGGUGCGUAGGCGGUCUAAUAAGUCAGUCGUGAAAUCGCUGGGCUCAACCCAUGCAAUUGCGAUUGAUACUGCUAGACUUGAAUGGGGUUGAGGCUGGCGGAAUGCGACAUGUAGCGGUGAAAUGCUUAGAUAUGUCGCAGAACACCGAUUGCGAAGGCAGCCAGCUGGGCCUUUAUUGACGCUGAGGCACGAAAGCGUGGGGAGCAAACAGGA